rnacentral:rRNA from 1 species
AGAGAGAGACAUGCGCGCAUAUCAAUAAGCGGAGGAAAAGAAACUAACAAGGAUUCCCUUAGUAACGGCGAGUGAAGCGGGAAGAGCUCAAAUUUGAAAUCUUCAAGGUUUUACCUUGACGAAUUGUAGUUUAAAGAAGUGUUUUCUGCUGAAGUUUUGGUAAAAGUUCUUUGGAAUAGGACAUCAUAGAGGGUGAGAAUCCCGUAUUUGACCAUUAUUUUCAGCUUUGUGAUACACUUUCAAAGAGUCGGAUUGUUUGGGAUGCAGUCCAAAAUGGGUGGUAAAUUUCAUCUAAAGCUAAAUAUUGGCGAGAGACCGAUAGCGAACAAGUACCGUGAGGGAAAGAUGAAAAGAACUUUGAAAAGAGAGUUAAACAGUACGUGAAAUUGUCAAAAGGGAAGCGUUUGACACCAGUGUUGUUUUCUCGAAAAUCAAUUAAAAAUGGCUCGAUUUUGUAUUGCUGAGACCUUAAAAGCUCACUGUACAUUUUUCGUGUCUUUUUUAAUGCACUUUUCGUUUAACAAGUCAACAUCAGUUUCUUUUGUUGUAAAAGGGUCAUUGGAAGGUGGCUUUCUUUUCGGAGAAAGUGUUUAUAGCCUUUGGCCUCUGCAAUCGAAGAGACUGAGGUCUGCAGCGUAGACUCUUCGGGGUUAGAUACAUUUGUGCUAAGUUAUAGCUUUUUAUAGACAACUUGUUGACUAUAAUUAGUCUUGUAGCUUACUCGCUUAUGCUAUUUUACCUACGCUUAGGAUGUUGAAGUCAUCGUAUCGCGC